GCCUUCGUGGUGUAGUGGUCAGCACGCUUGGCGCGUAAUUGAAAGGUCUGUGGUUCGAUUCCCGGUGAAGGUG
rnacentral:tRNA from 1 species